AGUGAACGCUGGCGGUAGGCCUAACACAUGCAAGUCGAACGGCAGCACAGUAAGAGCUUGCUCUUACGGGUGGCGAGUGGCGGACGGGUGAGAAUACAUCGGAAUCUACUUUUUCGUGGGGGAUAACGUAGGGAAACUUACGCUAAUACCGCAUACGACCUACGGGUGAAAGCAGGGGAUCUUCGGACCUUGCGCGAUUGAAUGAGCCGAUGUCGGAUUAGCUAGUUGGCGGGGUAAAGGCCCACCAAGGCGACGAUCCGUAGCUGGUCUGAGAGGAUGAUCAGCCACACUGGAACUGAGACACGGUCCAGACUCCUACGGGAGGCAGCAGUGGGGAAUAUUGGACAAUGGGCGCAAGCCUGAUCCAGCCAUACCGCGUGGGUGAAGAAGGCCUUCGGGUUGUAAAGCCCUUUUGUUGGGAAAGAAAAGCAGCAGGUUAAUACCCCGCUGUUCUGACGGUACCCAAAGAAUAAGCACCGGCUAACUUCGUG
rnacentral:rRNA from 1 species